rnacentral:misc_RNA from 1 species
GAAAUGCGAUAAGUAAUGUGAAUUGCAGAAUUCAGUGAAUCAUCGAAUCUUUGAACGCACAUUGCGCCCGCCAGUAUUCUGGCGGGCAUGCCUGUUCGAGCGUCGUUACAACCCUCAGGCCCCCGGGCCUGGCGUUGGGGAUCGGCGGAAGCCCCCUGCGGGCACAACGCCGUCCCCCAAAUACAGUGGCGGUCCUGCCGCAGCUUCCAUUGCGUAGUAGCUAACACCUCGCAACUGGAGAGCGGCGCGGCCACGCCGUAAAACACCCAACUUCUGAAUGUUGACCUCGAAUCAGGUAGGAAUACCCGCUGAACUUAAGC